rnacentral:lncRNA from 1 species
UGGUGCUAUUAUAUUUUAGUAUUAAUACAUUCCUAUUAUUUGUAAUAGUAAUCUAUCAAGUAAUAAUUAAGAUAACUAAAACCACUAAGGAAUUGAUUUGAAAUGGGUAAAACACUAACAUGUGCAUUUACGGUGUGGUGUUAUGCUUAUAAAUAACGGCGCUAACAAGUGAACAUGGAAAAGCAUACGUAAAUAGGGUAGUUUUGUAACUUACGUGUCCUAAAAGGUUUAGAUCAUGAUCAGGAUGAUGAAAUGC